rnacentral:rRNA from 2 species
GGCGGGACACGUGGUAUCCUGUCUGAAUAUGGGGGGACCAUCCUCCAAGGCUAAAUACUCCUGACUGACCGAUAGUGAACCAGUACCGUGAGGGAAAGGCGAAAAGAACCCCGGCGAGGGGAGUGAAAAAGAACCUGAAACCGUGUACGUACAAGCAGUGGGAGCCUCUUUAUGGGGUGACUGCGUACCUUUUGUAUAAUGGGUCAGCGACUUAUAUUCUGUAGCAAGGUUAACCGUAUAGGGGAGCCGAAGGGAAACCGAGUCUUAACUGGGCGUUAAGUUGCAGGGUAUAGACCCGAAACCCGGUGAUCUAGCCAUGGGCAGGUUGAAGGUUGGGUAACACUAACUGGAGGACCGAACCGACUAAUGUUGAAAAAUUAGCGGAUGACCUGUGGCUGGGGGUGAAAGGCCAAUCAAACCGGGAGAUAGCUGGUUCUCCCCGAAAGCUAUUUAGGUAGCGCCUCGUGAACUCAUCUUCGGGGGUAGAGCACUGUUUCGGCUAGGGGGCCAUCCCGGCUUACCAACCCGAUGCAAACUACGAAUACCGAAGAAUGUUAUCACGGGAGACACACGGCGGGUGCUAACGUCCGUCGUGAAGAGGGAAACAACCCAGACCGCCAGCUAAGGUCCCAAAGUCAUGGUUAAGUGGGAAACGAUGUGGGAAGGCACAGACAGCCAGGAUGUUGGCUUAGAAGCAGCCAUCAUUUAAAGAAAGCGUAAUAGCUCACUGGUCGAGUCGGCCUGCGCGGAAGAUGUAACGGGGCUAAACCAUGCACCG